GGAAGAGACACACUGAUAGAGCGGUUAACAGCCUCACAUUUUUGUGUACUGGUACCUAGUUUCAUCUGUUCUACAGCAGAGUCACUUAGUUUCAUUUUAAUUAUCUCCUGUACUAAAUGUCUGUCAUUUUCUUCCAUGAACAGGUUGGUGAUUUUAUGACUGGCGAGAAACAUAGAACGGUUCCACAAAGAGUUGGUAACACUUCCACCACAGACGUAUGAGUGACGCCUACAGCUUGAACAGUCACCGGCAUAGCAGUUUAAUGUGGCAGUUAGGACACUAGGUAUGCAUGUUCAAAGUGUCUGAUGACACCAUACAGAAAUCCUGAUACCCCAACAAAAGAAAGGUACAAUAAAGCUCCCUGCAAGACCAGAGUAGCUGUGGAAAUGAUCUUUGGAAGGUGGAAAAGGAGAUUUGGUAUCCUACAUGGAGAGGUAAGACUCACUCCAGAGAAAACCAGCAGAGUUAUAAUUGCAUGUGCUGUACUGCACAAUAUAGCAAUUUUACUUGGAGAGCCAGACUUCCCAGAUGAUGGUCAGCAGAUAGACCCACCUCAACCAGCAGUACAGUACGCAGGGCCAGAAGAUGGAUGAUUGAUAAGGGACUAUAUAACAAGACACUAUUUUUAAUUUCGAUAUCUAUUAGUAGGCCUGGAUUUUAAGAACAACUAUUUGAAGAAUUUUCUAGCUAUUAUACUCACCCUGGAGCAUCACACCUUGAUCAAAGUUUUGUAUGUGCAAGCACACAUGGCUAGCAUUUAAAGGCAUAAUUAUGUAGCUUUUUAACAUAUAUUUUUACCAAAUUUUGCCCCCUUUUGGACUUAGAAUAUCCUUAUUAAUGUUUUGUAUGCAAAUAACUGUCUCCAGAAUUAAUGCAGAUAUUGAAUUUAAACUUUACAAUUUUUUUUUGUGUUUUCAGGGUUAUAAAUCAAAGUGAUGGCAUCAAGUCCCAUAACUCUGUCAUGCAUUUUAAACAAUUUUAUGCCCCUUUUAAGACUUAGAAUAUCCCGGUUAAUGUUUUGUAUGCAAAUUACUGUCUCCAAAUCUAAUGCAGAUAUUGAAUUUAAACUUUACAUGUGUUUUCAGGGUUAAUAAUCAAAGUGAUGGCAUCAGCCCCUGUCAAUUGUUUAUUCAUACUUCAUGAAGUGCUCAUGAAGCAUUCAUGACUUCUUCAUGAGGAGUCUUCAUGACAAAAACAUGAAGUGCAAAUGAGACCAAUGCAUCAAGAGCUCAUGAAAACAGAUUCAUGAAUUAUUCAUGAAGUGGUAAAUGCAUUAAAAUGCAUGAAAUUAAGCAUAGCCUGUGUUCAUGAAGAAUCCAUGAAGUCUGUAUUUAUUAAUCUUCAUGAAGAAUUCAUGAAAAUAUUCCUGAAAAAAAUACUUCAUGAAGAAUUCAUACAUUAUUUUAUUCUUUAUUUCAAUGUCUCACUUGGACUUCAUGUUUUUUCCAUGAACACUUCAAGCAUAAAUAUUCUUAUAACUUCAUGAAGACAUUUGUGUUUAAAUUCUUGAAUAUUUCAUGAACAAUACAAAACAUUAUAAAAGGACUUCUUUGCCAUAGAUGAUACAGUAAUCCAUCAUGGAUAUUUAUUCAUGAACUAUUUGUGUUAAAAAAAGUUUCAUGAACUAGUCAAGGUAACCAGUGGUAGGAGUGAAAGCUGAGAGAUCUGCAUGUAAUGGGAUUCUUUUUACAAUAUGGGUAUUGCUUGAUACAAGGAAAAAACAUGUAGGUCAAAGUGUUGUUCAGUUAGUGGCUAGAGAUUGUUUAAGUCUCUACUUUGACAAUGACAUUUUCUAUCCUCAACAAAUGAAAUGUUGAGUCAAACAGUAAACUAGAGUGGGAUUUGGAGCAUAAUAAGAAGUAAACAAUUGCUGUAUAAAAUACAAAAGAAUAAGUUAAACAAUGUAUAAUUUACUUUAAUCUCAAGAUUGAAAUUUAGAUAAUAGCUUUGCUUCAGGGUCCUGAAAACUUGUGACAUUUUAGAAGGAUUUUGUAUUUUAAAAAUGAAUGAUUUAUAACAACACCAUAAUUACUUAUUUGAUAUUCAGUACAUGUAUACUCAUGUUCCUUUGAAAACCAUUCCUAACUGUAGUAUGAUAAAUAUUUCCUCCUCAUUUGCUGCACAAACUUCUCAAAAAUUGCUGAAUCACAUGUGCAAAACAUUUCCCACAAUGCAACAAAAUAAUGGAAACUGAUCAUGUGACAUGAAUUUAAUGUUCAUGAACUUAUUCAUUUAUUGUAAAAGGUAAACCUAAGUUUUAUGUUUAAUGAAUGGACAGUUCAGAAACUCACAAUUAGGUUCAAGAACUGAACUAGAAAAAAGUUUUGAAUUUUAGUACUUUUAAUGAAUCAUAGAUAUACUCAUUACAUAUUCAUGACUUUUUCUUAAGAACACAUAAAGAAUGUUUUAAGAAUUUAAUAUUCUUAAACUGUUCAUAAAAUUUUCAUCAUUUUUUUUCAAGAAUUUUUCUUGAAUUCUGUAGGUAUAUUGACAUUCAUGAAAAAAUAUUCAUUCAUUCUUAAACUAGUUCAUAAAUAUUUUAAGGAUUUUAUGAAUCUGUCAAUAAUGCUUGAUAUCUUCAUGAAGUAGGUCAAAUGACACUUCAUGCAUAAAACUUCAUGAAGUUAGAUUAAGAAGUAAUCCAGAACAGUUCAUGAAUAAUUCAUAAUGGUGAUGAAAAAUUUAUGAUUUCAUUAAUUCCAUUUCACCAGUGCUUGAAGUCCCAUAACUCUGUCAUACAUUUUAAGUAAUUUUGUGCCCCUUUUAAGACUUAGAAUAUCCUGAUAAGAUAUUGUGUGCAAGUUACUAUUUCCGAAACUAAUUGAAACUCCAUAUGAGCAAUGCCAUGAGAAAACCAACAUAGUACGCAGUCUGGUCAAGAUCCAUGCUGUUCACUUUCAAACCCUUUUGCAAUGAGAGAAACCAAUAGCAAACAGAAUGCUGGUUGCAAACACACUAUGUUGGUUUUCUCAUUGCACGGCUCAUAUA